rnacentral:lncRNA from 10 species
CCGUAAUCCAAUAAGCUUGGUGUCUUUGUAAGAAGGGGAGAUUAGAACACAGGGAGAGACACCAGACAGAUGCAGCCCAGAGAGAUGAGCAUGUAACACACAGCAAGAAUGCAGCCACCAGGCAAGCCAAGGAGAGAGCCUUCAGAAGAAACCAACCCUGCCGACACCUUGACCUCAGACUUCCAGCCUCUAAAACGAUUGAAGACAAUGCUGAUCAUACUAUCAACCAUGAAGGACUGUGCUGAGGAUUGAAUGAGAAUACAUUCAGGCCACGGAACACAGUGUGUAUAUAUUACACAUGCUCCAAAAAGGCUAGCUGCUACUAUGAAGUUGGAUAAAUUGACUCAGGAAAGGGCAGAAUGAACUUGAUAUUGUGACUGUACAUUUCAGAGAGGCCCCAAAGAGCAAAUAUUCAGAUCACAGCAUUCACUCCCGGAAUAAGCAUAUUCGAAAACCCUUUCUUUGUCAAGCACGAUACGUGGAGGGAGACUCAUUCUGUUUCAGAAAGCUGAGAGUUAAGUGGCCAAGAUAACCCCAAAAGACAAUCCUAAUAGAUGUGGUGGACACAACAGCAGAAAUAUGGCCACAGGUGUCACAUUUCCAGGUAUAGCUACUAAAUUUCCAUGGACACAAAUGUAGUGUAAAGACACAUCUAAUUAAUUUUUUAAAAUUUGCUGGAUUCUGUUAUUGCAAAACCCGGGAAUUUGGACUAUGGUAUAGUGGUGGUUGCGUAAACAUGGCGUCAUACUUAGUUUCUUGAGCCGUUGCCAGAUGUGCAGCUAUUAUGUAACAACACCCCUGAAAGGUGCUUUGAACAAAUGGAACUUUCAUGUUCCUUAACCAUAUAAAUGUCUAUGUUCAGAGCAAUACAAUGAAGAUUGCCAGAAAGACAAUUGCCCCAAGCACAUUCAUAUUUCCAGCUGACUAUACUUUUUCCAUCUGAAUGUACUUCCUGUUGUUCUUG